rnacentral:lncRNA from 1 species
UUACUCUUUAAUAAAAACCUAGAUAUAAAAGGGUUUUUUAGACCUAAUCUAGACCAAAAAGGGAACACUCCCCCUUCCUAAUAUAGCUCAACGACGGCAGCACAUAAGACCACGGAUACAAUGUCUAUUUUGGGGUUUUCUCCUUCAUUGAGUAUAGGUAAAAUCACUAUGGAAAUACCUUGAAUUACCACCGAAAUUCCACAGUCUUUCACAUCCCUACACCUCCGUUACCUUCCUCCUAAUUCAAGACAUAAGAAAAUGAUCUCCACUUGAAUGAAAAGUUAAAACAGCACUCAAAAUUCCACUUCCAAAAGAUGCUGAGAUUUUUUUUUGUUGGUUUUCAAUUCUGAUCAAUUUUCGGGUUGAAAUUUGAGAUUAAGGUGCGGUCAACAGGUGGUCCAUUUGAGGUUUUCGGGUUCUGGGUUUGUUUGUGGAUUCGCGGUUCCUGUCCAAUAGUAGUUGCUAUUUGCUACUCCAUCGAGCUCCCGUCGACGGAUUUUUUCCUCACUUGAUCAAGUGUAAAACUUUUUUGAGGAAAUUAUUGAAAAACACUCAAAGGUCCACUUCAUUUCUCAUAUCAUAUUUGUCUUAUAUUAUGUUCUGUUUUGUUUUAUAUUUUAGAGUUACAUUCCUUGGUUCGUUAUUUUGGAUUGAUCUACUUCAUGUUGAUUACCCUUCAUCUCUUGAUUAGAAUUAAUGCAUGAAGAAUAAGGGUCUAAAUACUUCGGGGGAUUUAAGUUAAAAUAAAAUUGAAAGGACUUGGAUAUGUUUGGUUUAAUCGACAAUGAGAUGUAAUGGUUAAUCCAAUUACAUGUUAAAAAAUCCAUACUUUCUUCAUGUAUUUGUUUUUAAAUGGAACCCAGAUGGUCGUCAAAAUCAAAGCUUUAUGUAUCUGGAGUUGAACACAAUCGAUGAAUGCAAAAAAUUGGCAUAAUAGCAGUCUCUAUUGUUUUGUUAUUUUUGAAUUGAUUGGUGGGUGUUUUGUGUUUAGUCCUUGUUUGGUUUAUAAUGUUGAGAAAAGUAGUAGUUCAUAAUUUACGGUUUGUAGUGGAUUGUGGAAGCUUUGGUAAAAGAGUUAAUAAUUAUGAGUGGAAAUUACAAGGUAGAUUGAAUAAUAACAUAGAUUUCCCAAUUUGCUGAAUACUUAUCCAGGGAACUUGACAAAGAGUGAUGGUUGUCAAUACCAUUGUAUGCAAACUGAGACGAGUUUGGACAAAUUUAUUGGGAAUACUUUUUUGCAUAUUUAAAUAAAUCAUCGUGAUUGUGUACACAUUCGCGUGACAUAAUUACGAUCCUAAAAACAAAUUCGGAGUAUGCAUUCGCGCAACAUUGACUAAACUUCCUUAAUAAUAAUAAAGCGUUAUUAAUUGUGGACACGUUCGCAUGACAUAAUUUUUGACGUGCCAAACAAACGGGUACACGUACACGUGACCCAUUUUAAGAUAAUUUCUUAAUUAAAAGAGACAAAUACACAUAGGUUCUAAAAUAAGUAGUUAAACAAUUUAAGCCAUAUAUAAAUUGGUAAGCGACCAUUCUAGAACCACGGAACCCGGGAAUGCCUAACACCUUCUUCCGGGUUAACAAAAUUCCUUACUUAGAAUUUCUGGUUCGCAGACUUUUUAAAUAAAAUCGAUUUUCCUCGAUUUGGGAUUUUAAAAUAAACCGGUGACUUGGGACACCAAAUAAAUUAUCUCAAGUGGUGACUCUGAGAAAUGAAUAAAAAAAUAACCCCAUUUCGAUUUAUGUCACUUUAAUUUGAAAACUUCCCUUAUAUCCCUCAUCGGGUAAAAAAGGAGGUGUGACACUCACAGUCCAUGGAUCUCUUUUUAGUCACCAAGUCUUUCAUGAACUUGGCUUAACCCGGUAUUUGCUCAAGAGCUUCCACCAAAGAAAUAUUGAUUGAUAAGCUCUUCAUUUCAUCAUGUCAAUAAAUUUUCAAAAUUGGUUUUCAUUCUUUUGCUUCGCAAACCUUUGAGGGUAAGGUGGAGGAGGCCUUGGCAAGGCAGCCUUAGCCUUGGGCACUACCAUUUUCGGUAUGUCUAUUACGUGUUCCCUAGACGGGUUCACGUCAUCUUGGGUCUCCACCUCGUCAUCAUGAACAUCAAUCCUCUCUAGUAAUUUCCUUUUGCUUGGAGGUAUUCACAUCACCACCUCGACCAUUUCUAGUAAUCACCGCCAUUGCAUGCCCGGUGUUGUUCCUACCUUUCGAGUUUACUACCGUAUCACUAGGUAGAGCCCUCUUAGGGGGAGUAUUCAAAGACUAUGAAAUCUGGCCAAGUUGAACCUCCAAAUUCUGGAUUAAAGUAUUGUGGGAUGCCAACUGAGCAUCAGAGUUGGCAUUCUUCUUCAUCAGUUGUUUAAACAUCAUCGCGAUCCUUCCCAUCUCAUUGUUUGACGAGCUAAGACUUUGGGACGAAAAUGGAGGUGGGUUGUUUGGUUGUUGAUGUAUGGAGGCCUUUGAAAGCCUUGCCCCCGAUUCCCUUGAUUGCCAUUGUUUCAACCCCCUUGGUUGUUGUUUCCUUCCCCAAUUGUUGUUGUUGCCACUCCAAUUAUCCUGAUUGUUCUAGUUGCCCCAAUUUUGAUUGUUCCCCUAAUUUCUAUUGCCUUUUUGGUUUUGAUUCCCCUAAUUUCCUUGGGAUAUCCAUUGUUGUUAUUGGUUAGGAGCAUUAUCCCUUUUUCCUUGGUAAUUGUUCAUAUAUUUCACUUCUUCAUUUUGCUCAUCAUAGCCCUCAUCUUGAUUGAAACCACCAUUACCUUGGUCAUAUUGAUCCGAACUACCUUGACCUUGUUGACCUCUUUGUCGCCUCUUGUUGACCAACAUGUUGACACCUUUCAUAGCAUUUACUUGUCUAGGAGCUUGAACCUAUUUCAAUUGAGCUUUUGCUAACUGGUUCAUUGUGGUAGUUAACUCUGCUAUUGCCUGGCCAUGAUCAUGGAGCUCUUUGUGCAAGUGGAUGACAGUGGGGUCACUCUGUAGCACAUUGGCUCGAAUUUUCCAAGAUGAGGAAGUAUCUGCCAUCUCAUCCAAUAUCUUACACGCUUGAUCAUAAGGUGUGUUCAUAAAAUUUUCCCCUGCAAGCUGGUUCACUACACACUGAAUGGUCGUGUUAAUGCCACAGUAGAAUGUCUACUUAAUCAUUGCUUUGGUCAUGUCAUUGUUUGGACAUUUUGUAAUGCCCUAGAAAAUUUUUCUAAGUAAUUUACGAUUUCGUGGUACCAGGUAGGUUAGUUAUAAUAUUUUACGUGAUAUUAAUAUGAUGACAUCAAUUGAAUUUGGUAAAUAAGAGUAUAAGUCAUAUAAUAAGUAAUGUGUGGUCUAAUGGGAAGCCUUAGUCUAAGUCAAGUUAGAAAAUUUCAUAAUGGGCUAAAAUUCCAAAUGAGUUUGAAUAAGUCCAUACUUUGGACGAGCAUAUCUAAAUAUAUGUAAGGUAUUAUGUGAUGAACAACCUAUCAAAUGAAAGGUCUUUGAGUCUAGUUUCUAACGCUUUAAACCGUUCAUCAUUUGGACAUUCCUACACAAAGUUAUGAUCAAUGUACCAAAGGCUGGAUUUGCGAUCAAUUUCGCGAUCGCAAAAUGACUCUGCGGACCGCAUACGCGUCGCAUAGUGAAGCAGAGUCGGGAAAAAAUUAUAAUGUCGCAUGUUGAUUAUACUAUUGCAUAAUGAUUAUGAUGCAAGUCUACUGCCCACAUAUCGAUUAUGCUAUAGCAUAAUUGCACCACAUAAUUGACUUUGGGGGUCAUUUUUGGAAAUUUUCAUAUCUGAGCCCACUUUGAUAAAUAAGCUUUGGGGCUUCAUUUGGGGCUAUUUUAUUGUGACGAGCUGGUCGGUCAUCUUAAGAAUUAACACCCAGAUCCCCUCUUAACUACUGUCCCCAUAUUUAUUUCUGCUAUUUUGAUUUGCUAGGAUGUUCAGUUUUGAGUUUCAGAGAGUUCCGGGACACUUAGUCCCUAAAUGAGAGCUUAAGUGUUGAAAAGUUGAUUAUAGUCAGAAUAGUGUAAAGACAACCUCGAAAUGGAAUUUUGAUUGUUUCAUUAGCUUCGUUUGAUGAUUUCGGGCUUAGGGGCAUGAUCGGAUGGUGUUUUGGAGGUCCGUAGCUAAUUUAGGCUUGAAAUGCCGAAAGGUCGAAUUUUGAAGUUUCUGAUUCGAUAGUAAAAUUUUGAUCCGAGGGUCGGAAUGGAAUUUCAGAAGUUGGAGUAGCUCCGUAGUGUUGAAUGUGACAUGUGUGCAAAAUUUUAGGUCAUUCAGACGAUGUUUGAUAAACUUUUUGAUCGAAAGCGUAUUUUUAGAGUUUUGGAAUUUUUAGGCUUGAAUCCGUGGUUGAUUCGUCGUUUUGAUGUUGUUUAAGGUGUUUUAAGGACUGAUAUAAGUUUGGACAGUGGUAUUAGACUUGUUGGUACCUUUGGUUGAGGUCUCGGGGGCGUCGAGAUGAUUUCGGAUGGUUGACGGAAGGAUUUUGGAAUUUGAAGUUGCAGCUUCAGCUACUGGUUUUCUGUUAUAACCACACCUGUGAGUGUUGGACCGCAGGAGCAGGUAUGAGGCCACAAAAGCGAGAAUUGUCCAGGGCUCCAGGAUCUGUAGGUGCGGCCGGGUUUUUGCAAAUGCGGUGCCGUAGAUGCGGACCCUGCCCGUUAAGUGACUUUUUGCACCUGUGAUGUAUUCUUCAGUAGGUGCGGGAUCACAAGUGCGCUCCCUUGACCGCAGAUGCGGUAAUCGCUGGGCAGAAACAUAUAAAUACUUGCCUUCCCGAAAUUUAGCUAUUUUUCACCUCUUUUCCAACGGGAAGGAGCUUGGGAAGCACUUUUCAAGAAGGAUUUUCAGAGGAGUUCAUUGAGGUAAGGUCUUUGAUCCCUAAACUCAUUAUUGGAGUGAUUUUUAUCAUUAUAAGGAUGAAAAAUUAAGGAAAAUCAGUGGUAAUUUGGGGGUUAGGGCUUGACUAAUUAGAGGCCUUUGAGUGAUGAUUUGAGGGACUAAUUGAGGUCCGAUUUUAUUACUUUUGGUAUGACUGAGCUCGUGAGAGUGUAAGAAUUCUGGAAAUGUAAAUAUUACCUGAUUCUGAGAUGUGGGCCCGUGGGGCAUUUUGGUUAUUUUACCUAAUUUCACAUAUUUGCUUAGAAUUUCUUUGUAGAAUCAGUUACUUGAAGUAUUAUUUACAUUAUGAAAUUGAAUUGAAUAGAUUUGGGCCAUUUGGAGUUGAGUACUCGUGGCAAGAGCGUGGUUUCGAAUUGAUUUGAGCUGGUUCGAGGUAAGUGACUUGCCUUACCUUGUGUAGGGACCUUCCCCUUAAGAUUUGGUAUAUUUGAUAAUUGAAAAGCCUUGUACGUAAGGUGACGAGUGCGCACUUGAGCUAAUUGUUGAAAAUCCAGUUUUCUUUAAGUAAUUUUAAUUGUGUUCCUUUUUCCUGUCUUAUACUACUUACAAUUUAAGCCUGUUAUUAGCCUAGAAAAGCAUGUUUAAUUGACUUAAUUGCUUACUUGCUUAACCUGCCUUGAUUGUAUUAUGUGAAGCAUGUUAGGUUAGAAUUACCUGUUUACUUGGUACGAAAUUGAGCUUAAAUGAGUAUUCCUUGUGUUGUUGCUGCGUGUUUUACUUUGGGACUAUGGGACGACAUCCCGGGAGUUUCCCUACACGUAUUUAUGAUUAAGCUGAGGUGCAGGAUACCAAAAGAUCCCUAGCACGGAUAUUGAGGAUACAAGAGAUCCUCGAGAUACCGAUAGCUCCCUAGCACGUAUAUUGAGGAUACCAAGAGAUAUUCGGGAAACUAAGAGAUCCCUAGCAUAUAUUGAGGAUACCGAGAGAUCCUUGGGAUACCAAGAGAUCCCUGACAUAUAUUGAGGGUACUAAGAGAUCCUCGGGAGACUGAGAGAUCCCCGAUUAUUUCCUUGUGAUUGUUUUGCCUCUGUUUCAGUUAUUGAAUUCCUUGUUUUCCUGUAUUAAAUUUUUAUUGUUAGUUUUCAACUGUACUACUUAUCUUAUACUGUCAUACCUUAUAUUUUUAUUUUAUCUCAGUAGGGCCCGGACCAUCCUUGUCGCUACCCGACCGAGGUUAGGCUUGACACUUACUGAGUACCGUUGUGGUGUACUCAUGCCCUUUCUGCGUAUAUUUUUCAUGUGCAGAUCCAAGUACUGCGACUCAGUCCUAUCACACUUGAGGCGAGGCGAAUGCUCCAGAGACUUCGAGGUAUAUCUGCUGCUUCCGCAGACUGAGGAGUCCCUUUCCAUUCUAUCUUGUAGUGACAACUCUUCUAUCUUUUCUGAUGAUGUAGACAUUCCGAAGUUAGAGCAUUUUAUUAUAUUCAUAGCUUGUGAUUCAUGGGUUUCCGGGUUUUGGGAAAACUGUAUUACUUUGUGAGAGUUUGUAUUGUGUAUGCCGAGUGGUACUUUCAAAUGCUG